AUGGACGCGGAGGGGCUGCUGGCGUCGGCGGCGAUCAACCUGGGGCUGGCGCUGGUUGCGCUGUCCCUCUUCUCCAUGCUCAAGAAGCAGCCCGGGAACGCGCCCGUCUACCUGCCGCGCCGGAUGGCGGGGGCCGCCGGCUCCGGCUGGGUGCUGCCCCUCGGCACCGGCCGGCUGACCCCGUCGUUCCGGUGGAUCCGCGCCGCCUUCCGGCUCUCCGACGACGACGUGCUGCGGCGCCACGGCCUCGACGCCCUCGCCGUCAUCCGCCUCUUCAAGCUCGGGAUCCAUUGUUUCAGCGUCUGCUCGAUUGUUGGAGUGUUGAUCCUCGCGCCGGUGAAUUACACAAGUGCAGGUCCGUCCGGCACCAAGAGGCCGAAUUCCAUGGAGAUUUUCACGGUGUCCAACGUGCCAAAGGGCUCUGACAGGCUCUGGGUGCAUUUUUCAUGCCUGUGCUUCAUAUCCUUUUAUGUGGUGUAUUUGCUUCACAAGGAGUACAAAGAGAUGUCCCACAAAAGAAUUGAACGCUUGAAGUAUCACAGGAAGAGACCUGAUCAGUUCACCAUUUUAGUUCAAGGAAUUCCAGUGUGCGCAGAUCAUGGAAUUUAUGGGUGUAAUGUUGAUCAUUUCUUCUCAAAGCACUACCAGACAUACCAAUCAUAUCAAAUACUGCAUGACAAUGGAAACAUCGAGUCAUUACAGAAGCUGGCAUCUUCACUUGAAAAACAGAUAGAGAGGAAAAGGGAUACCCGAAGAUGCAACUUUUGGCAGUGGAUCUGGUUUAAGUUCACAUCAGGACCGAUAGAUGCUCGCAGCCAGGAACAAAAACUGAAGGAAGUGCACCACUCUAUCCGAAUCCUGCAGUGCAAAAAUAUGCUUAAACAAAAGGAGUUACCAGUUGCUUUUGUCUCAUUCAAGUCCCGGUUGGAGGCUGCCCAAGCUGCUGAAACGCAACAGCAUGUCAAUCCGCUGUCACUGGUUACACGUUAUGCUCCUGAGCCAACUGAGACAAUAUGGUCAAAUCUGGCUAUUCCUUUCUACCGUCUUGCUGCAUACAAGCUUGGAGUCUUCAUUGCUGCAUUUUUACUAACAGUGUUCUUCACCAUCCCCGUCACAGCCGUGCAAGGGAUAGUGCAAUUUGAGAAGAUUGAGAAAUGGUUCCCACCGGCCAGAGCUGUGCAACUUAUGGUUAAUGCUAUGUCAUCUUGCAGACCAGGUUUGAGUUCUGUUGUAACUGGAUAUCUUCCAAGCAUGAUUUUGAACGGAUUUAUCUACUUGAUUCCGUUCGCAAUGCUUGGUAUGGCUUCGUUUGAAGGCUGCAUUUCAAAAAGUCAAACGGAAAUCAAGGCAUGCAACAUGGUGUUCUACUUCUUGCUAGGAAAUGUUUUCUUCCUGAGUAUUCUUUCAGGAUCUCUGCUCCAUCAGAUAGGAGAAUCCUUUACGCACCCUAAAGAUAUCCCUAGCCGUCUAGCAAGUGCUGUUUCUGCACAGUCAGAUUUCUUCAUCACAUAUAUCUUGACCAAUGGCAUGUCAGGCUUUUCCUUUGAGGUUCUUCAGUUUGGUUUGCUAACAUGGCACUUCUUGAAGGCGCAUACUGUUGGACAUAGUGAUGAACCAUAUCUGUAUGGCUUCCCUUACUACAGAGUUGUGCCCAUUGCUUCCCUUGCAGUAUUGAUUGGAAUGGUGUAUGCUGUCGUUUCACCUCUUCUGCUUCCGAUUCUUGUGAUCUACUUUUUGCUCGGUUAUGCCGUGUUCAUCAACCAGAUGGAAGAUGUAUAUGAGAUCACGUAUGACACCUGUGGACAAUAUUGGCCUACUAUCCACCACUACAUCUUCCUCUCGGUCACGCUCAUGCAAACUACAAUGAUAGGCUUGUUCGGCCUGAAGUCGAAGCCAGGAGCUUCAUUCGCCACAAUCCCCUUGCUUGUGUUGAACAUCAUGUUCAACGAGUACUGCAAGGUCCGGUUCCUUCCAACUUUCCAAUGCCGGCCGAUCCAGAUCUGCAAGGACAACGAUGACCUUGAUAAAACUGAGAGGGAGGCGGAAUGCAGCUCGGAACAUGCUGUCAGGGCGUACACGCCGCCAUGGAUGCGUCCGACAGGGUCCUCCCCAGAAUCUAGCUCGGUGCAGCCUUUAGUCCGUUGUUUGUUAUAA
rnacentral:rRNA from 1 species